rnacentral:rRNA from 1 species
GAUGAACGCUAGCGGCAGGCUUAAUACAUGCAAGUCGAACGGUAAGGUCUCUUCGGAGAUACACGAGUGGCGCACGGGUGCGUAACGCGUAUGCAACCUACCUCUGACUGGGGAAUAGCCCCGAGAAAUCGGGAUUAAUGCCCCAUAACAACCGGGAAUCUCAUGUUUUCCGGUUAAAAGUUCCGACGGUUGGAGAUGGGCAUGCGUGACAUUAGCUAGUUGGUGAGGUAACGGCUCACCAAGGCUACGAUGUCUAGGGGUUCUGAGAGGAUACUCCCCCACACUGGUACUGAGACACGGACCAGACUCCUACGGGAGGCAG